AGCGUACACGGUGGAUGCCCUGGCAGUCAGAGGCGAUGAAGGACGUGCUAAUCUGCGAUAAGCGUCGGUAAGGUGAUAUGAACCGUUAUAACCGGCGAUUUCCGAAUGGGGAAACCCAGUGUGAUUCGUCACACUAUCAUUAACUGAAUCCAUAGGUUAAUGAGGCGAACCGGGGGAACUGAAACAUCUAAGUACCCCGAGGAAAAGAAAUCAACCGAGAUUCCCCCAGUAGCGGCGAGCGAACGGGGAGCAGCCCAGAGCCUGAAUCAGUGUGUGUGUUAGUGGAAGCGUCUGGAAAGGCGUGCGAUACAGGGUGACAGCCCCGUACACAAAAAUGCACAUAUUGUGAGCUCGAUGAGUAGGGCGGGACACGUGGUAUCCUGUCUGAAUAUGGGGGGACCAUCCUCCAAGGCUAAAUACUCCUGACUGACCGAUAGUGAACCAGUACCGUGAGGGAAAGGCGAAAAGAACCCCGGCGAGGGGAGUGAAAAAGAACCUGAAACCGUGUACGUACAAGCAGUGGGAGCACGCUUAGGCGUGUGACUGCGUACCUUUUGUAUAAUGGGUCAGCGACUUAUAUUCUGUAGCAAGGUUAACCGAAUAGGGGAGCCGAAGGGAAACCGAGUCUUAACUGGGCGUUAAGUUGCAGGGUAUAGACCCGAAACCCGGUGAUCUAGCCAUGGGCAGGUUGAAGGUUGGGUAACACUAACUGGAGGACCGAACCGACUAAUGUUGAAAAAUUAGCGGAUGACUUGUGGCUGGGGGUGAAAGGCCAAUCAAACCGGGAGAUAGCUGGUUCUCCCCGAAAGCUAUUUAGGUAGCGCCUCGUGAAUUCAUCUCCGGGGGUAGAGCACUGUUUCGGCAAGGGGGUCAUCCCGACUUACCAACCCGAUGCAAACUGCGAAUACCGGAGAAUGUUAUCACGGGAGACACACGGCGGGUGCUAACGUCCGUCGUGAAGAGGGAAACAACCCAGACCGCCAGCUAAGGUCCCAAAGUCAUGGUUAAGUGGGAAACGAUGUGGGAAGGCCCAGACAGCCAGGAUGUUGGCUUAGAAGCAGCCAUCAUUUAAAGAAAGCGUAAUAGCUCACUGGUCGAGUCGGCCUGCGCGGAAGAUGUAACGGGGCUAAACCAUGCACCGAAGCUGCGGCAGCGACGCUGAUGCGUUGUUGGGUAGGGGAGCGUUCUGUAAGCCUGUGAAGGUGUGCUGUGAGGUAUGCUGGAGGUAUCAGAAGUGCGAAUGCUGACAUAAGUAACGAUAAAGCGGGUGAAAAGCCCGCUCGCCGGAAGACCAAGGGUUCCUGUCCAACGUUAAUCGGGGCAGGGUGAGUCGACCCCUAAGGCGAGGCCGAAAGGCGUAGUCGAUGGGAAACAGGUUAAUAUUCCUGUACUUGGUGUUACUGCGAAGGGGGGACGGAGAAGGCUAUGUUGGCCGGGCGACGGUUGUCCCGGUUUAAGCGUGUAGGCUGGUUUUCCAGGCAAAUCCGGAAAACUAAGGCUGAGGCGUGAUGACGAGGCACUACGGUGCUGAAGCAACAAAUGCCCUGCUUCCAGGAAAAGCCUCUAAGCAUCAGGUAACAUCAAAUCGUACCCCAAACCGACACAGGUGGUCAGGUAGAGAAUACCAAGGCGCUUGAGAGAACUCGGGUGAAGGAACUAGGCAAAAUGGUGCCGUAACUUCGGGAGAAGGCACGCUGAUAUGUAGGUGAAGUCCCUCGCGGAUGGAGCUGAAAUCAGUCGAAGAUACCAGCUGGCUGCAACUGUUUAUUAAAAACACAGCACUGUGCAAACACGAAAGUGGACGUAUACGGUGUGACGCCUGCCCGGUGCCGGAAGGUUAAUUGAUGGGGUCAGCGCAAGCGAAGCUCUUGAUCGAAGCCCCGGUAAACGGCGGCCGUAACUAUAACGGUCCUAAGGUAGCGAAAUUCCUUGUCGGGUAAGUUCCGACCUGCACGAAUGGCGUAAUGAUGGCCAGGCUGUCUCCACCCGAGACUCAGUGAAAUUGAACUCGCUGUGAAGAUGCAGUGUACCCGCGGCAAGACGGAAAGACCCCGUGAACCUUUACUAUAGCUUGACACUGAACAUUGAGCCUUGAUGUGUAGGAUAGGUGGGAGGCUUUGAAGUGUGGACGCCAGUCUGCAUGGAGCCGACCUUGAAAUACCACCCUUUAAUGUUUGAUGUUCUAACGUUGACCCGUAAUCCGGGUUGCGGACAGUGUCUGGUGGGUAGUUUGACUGGGGCGGUCUCCUCCUAAAGAGUAACGGAGGAGCACGAAGGUUGGCUAAUCCUGGUCGGACAUCAGGAGGUUAGUGCAAUGGCAUAAGCCAGCUUGACUGCGAGCGUGACGGCGCGAGCAGGUGCGAAAGCAGGUCAUAGUGAUCCGGUGGUUCUGAAUGGAAGGGCCAUCGCUCAACGGAUAAAAGGUACUCCGGGGAUAACAGGCUGAUACCGCCCAAGAGUUCAUAUCGACGGCGGUGUUUGGCACCUCGAUGUCGGCUCAUCACAUCCUGGGGCUGAAGUAGGUCCCAAGGGUAUGGCUGUUCGCCAUUUAAAGUGGUACGCGAGCUGGGUUUAGAACGUCGUGAGACAGUUCGGUCCCUAUCUGCCGUGGGCGCUGGAGAACUGAGGGGGGCUGCUCCUAGUACGAGAGGACCGGAGUGGACGCAUCACUGGUGUUCGGGUUGUCAUGCCAAUGGCACUGCCCGGUAGCUAAAUGCGGAAGAGAUAAGUGCUGAAAGCAUCUAAGCACGAAACUUGCCCCGAGAUGAGUUCUCCCUGACUCCUUGA
rnacentral:rRNA from 1 species